UGUGUGUGUAGCCUUGUCACCGCAGCCUCCACGCUUAGCGGCUCCUGAUGGUGAGGUGUGUCCUGUCCACGUCAGGCAGGAGGGGAUGGAGGCCUCGGGGCGAGGCGGUGCCGUGCAGGGGCUCCCGUGGUGAGGUGCAGAUCCGUGUGAUACAUGUCAGUGUCUCCCGGCCGGAGCUGUUUUCCUGUGACCAGCUGUUUCCUUUGGCUGUUCAGCCUGUUUCAGCUGAAUGCCUAAUCAACACUGAGGCCCAUGGGACGCUAUUGGUGAACCCACGAGUCAGGGUUCUGCAGUCCUGCGACGCCUCGGGGCCCGUCCAGGGCGACGUUUUAGAUACAGAGAAUAUGCCGCACAGGAUGACAGGGGCAUCCGCCACACUGAAGUGACGUCUACCCUCGGAUCCCUGGGGGCGCAGGGUCUCGGCUUGGCUGGCCAAGGAUGUCACCUUGCUGUGCUGAAGGAGAAAAUCCUGACAAGUUUUACCUUGAGAAACAGUUAAAUUCACCAAAUUCUUCAGGAGCAGCAGUCUGGACCUUGACCACUGAGGCAGAGUACUCAGG
rnacentral:lncRNA from 1 species